AUGAGCUGCAUAAGCUGGAACUGUCGGGCGCUUGGGAACCCCGAGGCAGUUCGAGAGCUUCGCAAUAUUGUGAAGCAAGAGUUACCCCUCCUACUCUUUUUCAUGGAAAAUAAAAUAUCAGCGAAAAGAGUAGAGAGCCUGCAACAUUCGCUGGGAUUUACAGGAUGUUUUGCAGUUAAUAGCACGGGAUUGAGCGGCGGCAUCGGACUAUUU
rnacentral:rRNA from 1 species